UACGUAGGGGGCUAGCGUUGUCCGGAAUCAUUGGGCGUAAAGAGCGUGUAGGCGGCCCGGUAAGUCCGCUGUAAAAGUCAAAGGCUCAACCUUUGAAUGUCAGUGGAUACUGCCGGGCUAGAGUCCGGAAGAGGCGAGUGGAACUCCUGGUGUAGCGGUGGAAUGCGCAGAUAUCAGGAGGAGCACCGAUGGCGAAGGCAGCACUCUGGGCCGGCACUGACGCUGAGGAGCGAAAGCGUGGGGAGCGAACAGG
rnacentral:rRNA from 1 species